rnacentral:lncRNA from 1 species
GGGAGACUCAGAUAUUAGCAGCCGCGGGGAGCUGUGUCCCCUAAAGGCUGGAGGGAUACAGGGAGGUUGUGGUGUGGGAAGACUUUCAGCAGAGAGGGACCUCUGCCAGGAGCAGAGCUAAGGAUCCAGAGCUGCCAGCACAAGACAGAGGAGAUGCAGCCAAAACAGUGAGGCAGACUCUUCCAACUUCUCCCUUCUUCGCACCCACUGCCAUGGAUUUUCACACAAAAAAACACGGCAGUCCUCCUAAGCAGCUCUCAUCGGUACCAGGUCUCUGGCAGAAGCUGAGCAGAAACUGGGCAAAGUGACGGUCCAUAUCCAGAUGAAGGUAGACCAGUUUGCCAGGAACUUUGUUUCUCAGCGUGGGCUAUAAAAAAGUAGCAUCCAUUGCGAAGAAUUUUGCACUUACUGCAGUAUUACCAAAGAUGCCAAGACGCAAUCGCAGUGAGAUCCACACUUACUCAGGUAAAUUCAACUACUUCAUGC